rnacentral:misc_RNA from 1 species
GAGCCUUCUCUCUUUUUCUCCAUUCUUCCCUCUACUGACUGUUGUGAGACUUUAAAAAAAAUUAAAUUUUUUUGCUUUUUACAUGGACCAAGAAAUUUGGAAGAGAAGAGUUUCUUAGUUCUGCAAUGUUAUUUUUGUUAAUGAAAGAUUGAAUUUUGAUGGGUGAUCAAGGCUCUACGUCAUUUAGAGUAAGCUAGUUGCUUUACAGUUUUCUGCUUUGGAUGUGUAGCAUGUGUCACUACUGUGGUGCCCAACUGCCAAAAUCAGAGGACGAAAAGAGGAAACCAAAUAAUGAGAAUUCUUUAAAAUUAAAUGGUGAAGGGCACAAUUGGUCUUGUAGAUUUUGUCGGGAGAAGCAAGAACAAGGACAUUUAAAGCAGGACGGUUCGAGUCCUACAUCACCAAUGAUCAGUCCAACAACUUCGUUGUCCAGUAGCGAUAGAUCUGUUUCAAGCUGCAGUAAAUUUCUGCCUCUCAUAAUUCAUUUAAUUUUUUUAUUGAUAUAAUUAGAUUAGUGGCUUUAUACUGUGUAGUUAUGCUUUUAUGCUUUGUUUGUUUAUCUCCUCCUUCAGGUGAUCUGUCGGUUGAUAUAAGCUCAUAUGACCGGGCGAGUCAAGAGGAAGGAAGAGUAGACAGAGCUCGGGAGGAUGUCAGUUGUGGGCUUAACGGCCAACCGCAUAAAUCAAGUUUGGAAGCUUCAGUAAAUGGAGUACACAGAUCAUAUGAAGUAACAGAAAACAAUUUGGAGAAAAGCCAUAAUGGCAGUGACAGGGAGAUUGUGAGAGAUAUUGAUAUAAUGGAAACUGCUAAUGGACAAGAAACAAAAGAUAAUUCAUCUCAGAAUCCUGUUGAAUCCUUAAAUGAAGGAAAUGAGGCUUUUUGUUAUGGUGAUGAUGAAAUCAAUGCACAGGUUUGGGACCCUCCUGAAGCAGAGGAUCCGGAAGAUGACCUGGAGGGUAGUGUGGCUUGCAAUGAUGAUGAUGAUGAUGAUGAAUGUGGUGAUGGCACAAAAUGGGGCAAGCCAAGUUCUUUGAGCUGCUGCACGGAUGAAGGGAGUGGGAGCUACAGGUUCAAAGAAGAAAAACAAAAAGCAAUGGAGGAGGUUGCAAAUGGGAAGUUUAAGGCCAUCGUCAGGCAACUUCUUAAAACUGCAAGUGUUGGCACCAUGGUGAAAGAUUUUGAAAGUUGGGUGGAUAUAGUUAGCGUUUUAUCAUGGGAAGCUGCUUCAUUUUUGAAACCUGAUGCAAUUGAUGGGAAAGGAAUGGAUCCAGAUGGCUAUGUGAAAGUGAAAUGCAUUGCAACAGGCUCACGUAAUGAAAGUCAAGUAGUUAAGGGCUUAGUCUUCAAAAAGCGUGCUGCUCACAAGCACAUGCCAACUAAUUACAAGAACCCAAGGUUGUUGCUGAUCCGGGGAGCGCUUGGUCAGUCUUUAAGUGGCUUAUCAUCAUUUAAAUCAAUGGAUCUGGAAAAGGAUAAUCUGAAAUCGCUUAUGGACAUGAUAGAAAUGUGCCAUCCAAAUGUGGUUUUAGUAGAAAAGUCUGUCUCUCGUGAUCUUCAGGAGUCUAUACUUGCUAAAGGAAUCACAUUGGUGUAUGAUAUGAAGUUACAUCGCCUAGAAAGAGUUGCUCGUUGUACUGGUUCACCAAUUUUAUCAUCUGAUACUUUGCUGGGUCAAAAGUUAAAGCAGUGUGACUCCUUUCAUAUUGAAAAGUUUGUGGAGGAACAUGCUGGGUUGGGUGAAGGGGGAAAGAAACCAAGUAAGACGUUGAUGUUCAUUGAGGGCUGUCCUACACGCCUGGGUUGUACUAUUUUGCUAAAAGGAAGUCAUAGUGAUGAAUUGAAGAGGAUCAAAUAUGUGGUGCAGAUUGCAGUCAUCAUGGCAUAUCAUUUGAUUCUUGAGACUUCAUUUCUUGGUGAUUGGAAAACCAUGUUCUCAACUGUAAUGUUACCUGGGGCAAGGGAUCACGACUCAUCUAUUUUAGAAACCAGAGAUUCAAGCAUUCCUUCUGUUGAGGAGUCUAUUGCUGAAACUGGGCCAGCUACAGUUGAUAUUCCCAUUUCUAAUGGAUUCCAUGCAGAAGGUUCCCAUGACAUGGGAUUGGAAGGCCAUUCCAUGUCUUAUGUGCCAUAUAAUCCUGUCAUUUUUUCUGGGUUCUCCUCUCUUUCAGCAUCUCUUAAGAAAGUUAUAGGGGACAGUUUCCCUCUUGCCUCUUCUGUGCCAUAUCAGUCCCUGGCUAAUUACUUUGGUUUGAAUAUAAAAGAAGCUAAUGAUCAAAGCACAGAAGAGGUACCGGUUUUGGAAACUUUGGAAGCUUCUAACCAUUGUGAUAUGGAAUCUAAAGAUGUUUCUGAUGAAGAGAAAUUACUUGAUGGUGGACAGCCUCAGUCUUUCAGUUGCUGUAAACCCGUUGACGGAGAAAAUGAUGUUGACAAUAAAUACCAAGUUCAGAAUAAGGAUGGUGUCAAUUCUGUGUUGGAUUCUCAGAGUAUUUUGGUUUUGAUGUCAAGUCGGAAUGCCUUAAGGGGGACUAUGUGUGAGCAAAGCCAUUUUUCUCAUAUUAUGUUCUACAGGAAUUUUGACUUUCCUCUGGGGAAGUUUCUUUGGGAUAAGUUGCUCAAUCAGAGACGCCAGUGCACCACUUGUGGUGAAUUGCCAGAAGCUCACUUCUACUAUUAUGCACAUCAUAAUAAGCAGCUUACAAUACGAGUUAGACAGCUUCUGAAGCAUUUGCCUGGAGAAGCGGAAGGAAAACUUUGGAUGUGGAGUCGCUGUGGUAAAUGUAAAAAUCGGAAUGGAGUAAGAAAAUGUACAAAAAGAGUCUUGAUUUCCACUGCUGCAAGAUGUCUGUCCUUUGGAAAAUUCUUGGAGCUCAGCUUUUCUCAGCACACUUCAUCUGUUAGAUUGUCUGGCUGUGGCCAUUCUUUGGAGAGAGACUUCCUCUACUUCUUUGGAUCAGGCCCACUGGCAGCAAUGUUCAAAUUCUCUCCAGUUACAACUUACACUGUGUCUCUCCCACCUCAGAAGCUGGAGUUCAGCCAUUCAAUUAGAUAUGAUGGGCUCAGGCGAGAAUUUGGAAAUGUGCAUUUGAAGGGGAGGUUACUUUUUAGCACAAUUGCAGACACUUUGAACAAGUUAAGAUCUCAAUUUGUAGGCUCUAAUCUGAACCUUCGUGGGCCAUUAAAAGAAUUUUCUGAUAUUGAAGACAUGUUGAAGCAGGAAAGUUCUGAGUUCGAGGCUAGCGUUGACAAUGCUGUUUGUAAGAAUGGAAAUACAAACAAGGCUGAUUACAAGCUUCUUAGCAUAAAUCGAUUGUUAUGGGAACUUCUUCUGGAAUCGUGCAUUUGGGAACAGCGGCUGCAUUCACUGCUCUUACCUGAUCGUUCUUUGGUUCACACUGGUGCUAUUGAGAAAGCAGUGGACAACCAAGUGAAGUCAAAGAUGAGUGGCACCAUUGAUGGAAGAAAUGAAGGGACUGAAAUUGUUUUGGAUGACAGAAGUGGUGAGUUGAAAGAUAUGUUGGGUAAUUCUGUUGAAGCAAAUGGAUUUUCAAUAAAGGAAAUUUCAGUGGAUGGUCUUGUUCAAGAGUCUAGAGUACAAGAUCAUCUUGAUAACUCAUCUCCUUUUGCUGAAGAUGUUGAGAGGUUAAAAGUGGAUGGUUUAAGCCAGAACAGAUCAUCCAGCCCUCAGAUAUCUGAGAAACCUAAUGGUUCUCAUUCUGGUGAUAGUAGUUGCCAAGCAGACAAUUUAGCUUUGUCUGGGGAUUUAGAAGUGGAAAAGGCCAUUCCAAUUGCCUCAGAUACUGGAAAUAGUAACUCUGUUAUCGUAUCAGAUGAAUCUAGAAAGGGUACAUCUCUGCAUUCAGUAGCAUCCAGUUUAGAAAACUCUAGUGGAUGGUUCUGGAUGCCAUUUUCUGAGAUCCGUCAGAUUUACAUGGAGGAUCUUGAGAGAGGUUUCAUGCCUAAAUUUCAGUCAAUCGGUAGCUAUAUACAAGAACACAUAUCUGCAGCCUACCAACUAAUCAGCGAGGAAGGACAAAGGUUGCACAUCCCUCUUGGAAUUGAUAAUUAUAUUGUGAGAGACUAUGAUGGGGAACUAUCUAGUAUAAUUGCAUGUGCUUUGGCAGUUCUGAAAGAUGUACCUGUUUCACUGGAGUUUUUUAGUGAUGAUGGUCGGAAAGAGGGUGGCGCGUCUGCUAAAUCAACUGAUAGUUUACAUAUCUCGACUGGAUUUUCCACCAAAGUUUCUUCAUAUUGGUCUUCGAAUAGUUCUUCUGAUUCAGAUUCAUUCCAUUCUACAUCAAGUGUUUCUCCAGGAGAGUCACGCUUCUCUAGCUUUGAUGGGAUCAAUUUGUUGGAGUCUCUGAUUCCUCCUGAGAAUGUUAGCCCUGAAGUCUCUCUCGGGGUUACAAAGUCACUUGGAAAGGGUAAAUAUUCAGUAAUUUGUUUAUAUGCGAAGCAGUUUCGUGAUCUGCGGAGUCGGUGCUGCCCAUCAGAGGUAGAUUAUAUUGCUUCUCUUAGUCGUUGUAGGAGCUGGGAUGCUAAAGGUGGAAAGAGCAAAUCCCUUUUUGCUAAAACACUUGAUGAGAGGUUCAUUAUAAAGGAAAUCAAGAAGACAGAAUUUGAGUCAUUUGUUAAGUUUGCUUCUCAUUAUUUCAAGUACCUGAAUGAGUCAUUUGAGUUGGGGAACCAAACUUGUCUAGCUAAAGUUCUUGGGAUUUAUCAGGUGAUCAUCAGACAGACAAAAAGUGGAAAAGAGAUGAGGCAUGAUCUGAUGGUUAUGGAGAAUCUGUCCUUUGGUCGAAAUAUCACUCGUCAGUAUGAUCUUAAAGGUGCUCUACAUGCUCGAUACAAUUCAGCUGGUGAUGGUGCAGGAGAUGUUCUAUUAGAUCAAAACUUUGUCAAUGAUAUGAAUUCCUCUCCGCUAUAUGUUAGUAGUAAAGCAAAACGUCUCCUGGAACGUGCUGUUUGGAAUGAUACGACAUUCCUUAAUUCAAUCAAUGUAAUGGAUUAUUCUUUACUUGUUGGGGUAGACACUGAGCAAGGAGAACUUGUAUUUGGAAUAAUUGAUUAUCUAAGGCAGUAUACCUGGGACAAGCAACUGGAAACGUGGGUCAAGUCUUCCCUUGUUCCUAAGAAUGUUUUGCCUACCGUCAUUUCCCCAAAAGAGUACAAGAAGAGGUUCAGAAAGUUUAUGUCUACACAUUUCUUGACUGUCCCCGAUAAUUGGUGCUUGAAGAGAUCCUCUGACCCUCGUCAACUUUGUAGCAUCAGAGACGAUGGUUCUCAAUCAAAGUUUGAAAAACAAGGAGGAUUUAAUGGGUUUUCUCACUAGUUAAAUGUUCAUAUUGCUCAUGAUAUUUACUGUAAAUGGACAGAAUUCUGUCACUGUUGUAUAGUCAGCCCCCAUCAUUUAGCGAUUUUUAGCAAAUUUACGGGGGUAGUUUUUUACUUACAGGUCUGCCUUUGAUCAGCCUGAAAUGCUUGUGAAUUUUGUAAAUUACAUUUAGAAAGCAUAGAGAGCCGUGAACUGGCUAUUUCGAAUCAAUGAAAAUAUGCAGCUAUCUAUGGUAGUCUCCUUGUAUUGUUCCUCAUUAUCACCCUCAACUUGUAUUGUAAUGCACGAUAGAAACAUAGCUAUUACAUUUCUACUUUGCUUCAUUUUAGGAAUUUAAUGGCUUGCUUCUCUCCAUCUCAACAAGUUAUCUCCUUGCAUGCCCUUAAAACAUCCUCUUCAACUGCAAAUUGCUUCGGCAACCAGGCUACUCACCUGAGAUGGAAAGUUCAAACAGGCAAGACAUCAUCGAAAGCUGCAGGGAUAAGGGUGAUUAUUACUAUCUCAAAGAUGAUGAUCCUGAUGAAUCUUAUUACCUAUAUCUAGUCAAUGUCAUCCUCAGUGGUACUGCUAGGCUCAAUGUUCUCUUGCCAACUGCUAUAAUCUUCGCCUUCACCAUUUUUGCCCCACUUCUAACCAAGAAUGCCCAAUGCACUUCUUUGAACCGCAGGCUGAUGGGUAUUUUCGGGGCUCUUCUGGCUGCCUCCUGUGUCUUUUUUACGUUCACGGAUAGCUUCCGAACAUCAACUGGUAGGUUGGUGUAUGGGGUGGCAACAUUCAGAGGAAUAUGGACAUUCAGUGGAGGCAGGAGGAAACCGAAUGUGCCUUCAGAUUAUAGGCUGAGAUGGGCUGAUCUCUUUCAUUCUUCACUUUCCUUGAUUGCUUUUCUGGCUUUUGCUGGUUUACAUACAGAUGUUGUGAGAUGCUACUAUCCAGCAAUGCCUAGGAAGGUGAUCAACAUUGUUCCUCUAGUUAUUGGUUUUGUAAUCAGUGCGUUGUUCGUGUUGUUUCCCUCCAAGAGAAAAGGGAUCGGAUACCCUUUCUUGCUGCAGAGGAAUGCUUUGUACUUUAGAUAAGUUCUGUUCUCCUGGCACAAAUCCAAGAAGAUAAUGCAUAUACCCCUUUUUUUCCCUGUAGAAUUUUCAAUGAAACUAAUCGUGCACAUUUUAUAUGAUAGCACAUGAAUACAUAUUUUCUGGUUUGGAAUGUCAAAUCGUGUAUAAAACUAUUGCAAUACAAGGGGAAAAAGAAAUUGAAGAAGCUGUUAUUGAUUCAGGUACAAUGGCAACGUAAGGGAAUUGAUACUCCUGCAGGUUUUCUCUUAUCUCUAACAAUGGUUUCCUUAAUCAUGGGCAAUUUUUGCUGGACCUUCCUCCAUAUGUGAUUCACUGCACCAUCUGGAGGAACCGGUCCAAUACCGCCAGGAUGGCCAUUAUCAUACUCUAACAUUGGCUGAACCUUGGCCAUUUUUUGGCGAAAUUCAUUUCUCCGCUUUUCAGAAAUUCUUUUAAGAUAAUCCACAAGCCAUCUUGGUUUUAAGGCAUCAUUAACUGCCACAAAAACUGAGAAUUCUGAGUAAUCCACCAUCCCCUCAAAUGGGAGUUCAAUAUUGUCACUGACAAUAACAGGUAUACAGAGACUUUGGAUGGCAUCAAAAAGUCGACAAGAAGUGGGGGUAUCCCCGGCUGGGUGCAAGCAGAACUCUGAUGUUCUCAUCCCUCUAAUUGAUUGCUCUCUCCCAGUGGCAUUGGGGAAGCCUUCUUCCAUAAUAAUCCCAGGUUCAUUAACCAACAAGUCCCACAACUUUUCUCGAACUACACCUCCCCGGUGCCUGUGUUUGGCUCCUUUAAAAUAAAGUAGCGUGUGACGCUUCUUGUUCUUUGAUAAGUGCAAUCUAGGAAGCAAAUGUGUGUAUGGAACAAUUAUAUCUUUAACCAAUGAAACUUGAGUGUGUUGUAUCAUAUCUGAGGAACUACCAUUGAAUGAUUUUGAGUCAAGCCUAUACCAUCCACCGAAAUCCACCACUAGAAGAAUCGCGGGCGCUAUCUCGGCUCUCACAUGCCACAUUGCAACAGGGUCUGUGAGAACAAAAACAUGAUCUCUACCACCAGACCGCUUCCAGGCAUUGGAAUUCUUCACAAACUCAAUCACCUCCUUCUGCCUUUUGUAAUCCUCAUUGCCUUCCUUCUUCCGAAACGUACCCUUCCCUUUCCCAAGCUCAAUCUCCGCACUCAAUGUAGCGAAAAACGGUACAAAAACGACAUCGGCCUGAUUAACAUCAACUACCCUUUUCGCAAAUGAUUGAGUCCUCAAAUUCUCCGGGGUCAUCAGGUCCCCCGUGAUCCAGUACUCCGCACUGUACUGCUUGAUCAAUGGAUUCUCAGGAUAUGGAGGGAAUUUGGAGUUUUUGUGCUUAUGAAUCUGGGGGUGAUCCAGGUCAGAGCUAAUGCGGGAGUCCGGUACAGAGGAGGACCAAUACUGGUCUAGGAGGCCGUAGUUGAGGGAUCUAGGAAGGUCCGCUAAGUAGACUUUGAGGGGAUCUUGGGAGGCUUGAAGAGUGUUUUCAGGAUUUGAAAAAGAUGGACUUGGGUUGGAGAAUAGCAAGAAAAGGGAAAGGGUGAUCAGGGAAACGAGAAUAAAAGUGAGAAACAGAGAAGCGAUUGAGCAUGGGAGAGUGGUUAUUUUAGUGGCGGUGGAGGUGGCGGCAACUGUGCUCUUUGGAGGCAUUUCCGGCCUUGCUGGGCUUAUGCUUCUGAUUUGCUCAACUGGUUUUGAAGCUACUUAUUCAAUUAUGUCUUAAGAGGAUCCUACGUCGUUUAGGAGUUGCAAGAUGAUACGGUGACGUAUCAUCAUUUUUUUAAUUAUAAUAUUAAUUUUAUAAAUAAUUAAAAAAUAGAAUUUCGUUUUUAUAUGUAUGUUUUUUUAAAUAAAAAAUUAAUUUUUAAUUUUUAAAAUUAAAUUUUCAACAUUUAUUAGGUUAUUUCAUAAGUAAAUUAUUAAAUAAUACUAGAAAAUUUGAAUAAAAUAUUUUUAUUUUCAUAAAUUAUUUAAACAUUUUUUUAAGAUUUUAAAAUUUAA